GACGUAGGGGGCGAGCGUUGUCCGGAAUUACUGGGCGUAAAGAGCACGUAGGCGGGAACUUAAGUCAGAUGUGAAAGACCGGGGCUCAACUCCGGGAUUGCAUUUGAAACUGAGUUUCUUGAGGGCAGGAGAGGAAAGCAGAAUUCCUGGUGUAGCGGUGAAAUGCGUAGAAAUCAGGAGGAAUACCAGUGGCGAAGGCGGCUUUCUGGACUGACCCUGACGCUGAGGUGCGAAAGCGUGGGUAGCAAACAGG
rnacentral:rRNA from 1 species